GUGCAGGUUAACCUGAAGCCCAAGAUGGUUAGCGUGGGCACACAGACUUCAAUCAGCCCACAAACCUCCACUCCCCUCGCUAGUCCUGAACAGACAGUUGACAACGACGAUGAUGAUAAUGCCACUGUCAUCAGUGACUUGUCGUGGGUGCCCGAAGAGCCGAUGGAUGAGGAGGAAUUGUUUGAUGAGGAGCCACCUUACACGUGUGACCCCCACCACAAUUGCAUUGACAAAUUCAUUGUUUGCCAAGAGGAGCUGAUGGGCCUUUUUGCCAUCUGUCCGGCCUGUUGUGAGAGGUCGGAUAGUAGCAUCGUGCAGCAGGAAGGAACUUUUGUUAAGAUCAAGCAGGUCUGUGCAUCAUGUGGCUACCACCGUUUCUGGCAAAACCAGCCAAUGCUCCACAGGAACAUGCGCUGCAUUAUAAUCACAAUGCCAAUCGCGAGACAGCACGGAGAAGUGACGGGACAGAGAAGUACUGCGUGCGGUAUCCGCGCUUCAGAAAAGGUGCCCAUGUGGUGCGUCCCAUCAAAGAGGCAGCCUCAUACGGUUAUGCAACAUCAUUAAUGAAGGCCCUUCGGGAGAGCUACGCCAAUUCACCCGCGGUUCUUCGAGAGGUUGGCGCCAAUUUGUCCUCCGAUGCACCCGCCCCCAUCGCCAAAUCCUUCGAACAGAUUCCUAAGGAGGAGGCCAUCGGCCUCUACCUAGCCCGGCAGUCACGCUUUGAGAAAACCUAAUUUCACAUUAUUAUUUUUUUCCACGGACAAGUCCAAUGAUUUAGUUGUUAUUUGCAUGAAAUUUCUUUGUAUGUAAUUCAAAAUAAUUCGGUAAUCAUUUUACCUGUGCCUUGUCAACCUCUGUGUGCGGUGUUGUCUGGGCUCACUGUGUGUCUGCUUGAUGUGCUUUUGCAUGUAUCACUGCAUGAAAUAGUGUGUGUGUGUGUGUGUGUGUGUGUGAGAGAAAGAGAACCAUCAACUGACCCUCGGGUAUGACUACACUAUUGCAGAAUUUAUUAGAAUUAGAAUUAAACAUUGCGGGUCUAGCCCUUCAUCAGUGUUCCUUGUAUGUUUUGUGCCUAACCAUUUUUUUAUAUAGAUUUAAUUCCAACCUGUGUCUUUGUUCAGUAACCAUUACAAGCAAUGCCAAUCAACUUUUUUUAUCCAAAAUGCAUGUGUUCUGUGUACUUUAUAACAUUUUAAGGGCAAUUGAAUGAUCACAACAGAAUAAGCAUAACUAUUAUUUUUAUUCAUUUUAAUCCAAACAAGGCCAUUGAAAGCCCUGAUAGGUCUGGUCACCAUUCUGGAAUUGCUGUCUGAUGGUUGAAACCACACAAGAGGGUAGAGGCUUCCUUAUACUCCUCCCUAAAACGCCAUAAGCCCAGCGUAUAGCUUGCCUGUACGCAGUGUACCGGUAUUGCCUAGGGAUAAGUAGGAAAGAUUCUUAAGUUUAAAACUGUAAGUAGGUUGGAAACGUCAUUUUAAGCCUGUUUCUUAUGCAUGUUUAUUGUGUAUGCAACACAUCUCCUGUCACCUAUAACUGUUGGUUCAAAUGACUCAGUGUAAAAAGAUUUGUAAAGUAAACAUAAACCAUGAACAUACUCGUGCGUGCUGGCUUGAAGGGGACCAUGAGUGUGUGUAUGCUAUUUUUAGCACAAACGGAUUCAGGCAGCAUGCCUCAAAUCCAGGAUGCUGCGUUAGGCACGUCACAUCUGCUGGCCGCGGGGUGAGCUCCUCGACCAGCGACCAAAACGCGCUCACCUCCCUACAACACAAGCUCUCCACCACAGUUUCCAUGGGACGACACCGCCCACACAGACACCUGCCAAACACAGCGACACAGACACGCUUACUGCUCUCUCCCGGUAAGCGGUACCCUGACAGUUUCAAUGACAAUCAAUCACGAGGAAAACGAGUUAGCACUAUCAAAAAUAAUCACACUGAAGACAUAACCAGCCUACUCGGCGUCGGCUACGUUUGCAAACAACAUUUUCACCGGAGAAAGGUAAAAGCUUAGAAUAAACACUAGGGGUUCACAGGUGGGACUGUCAAGCUAGCCCAUAUUUAGAAUAAAUAGAAGGCAUAAUAUGCCUUCUAUUUCUGGAUCUUCUGACUAAGUUUAGGGUACUUAUCUGAGCCAAUGACAUAAUCACUGUCACUAGAUAUAAAGAAAACGUUGACUUUCAUUCGAUGCUAUUCACUGACAGUAAAAGAAAAUAAGUUAUUGUAUGCACUGCUGUUCAUAGACUACUAGCUCCAGCGCUCCUUGCUGCGUUUCUAAAUGGUAGCAACUCACCAGGACACUUCACCAACUCUCCACUCAUUCUCCUCUGACCAUGCAUUUAUUUGUCUUUGACGGCCAUCGGCUCUCGGGAUUUCCUCAUUUCCCCUCAUACGCCUAACCGGUUCGAAAUUAUAUGGCUGUGGGCCAUCAUAAAUGUUGACAGUGGGUCUUGCUACCUCUUCCUCAUCCCCGUCCGCCAUAAUGCUAGUUCUAAUGCGUCUACCCUAUGUGACGUCAUCGCCAAAUUGCGUAAAAAAUAACCGUUACUAACCAAAAACUACAAAAACUGGACUUUAACACCAUUUUGGAGACAUUUCUAACUUUAUAUACAUAUUUUGAGUGCUUUAUGUACCCAUUAAUCAAAACUUCCGGUUAACCUGCACCAUGGGCUUUAAGUAACAACAACUUUUAGGAAGAUUUUGAGUUUAAACUACUCAUUCCAAUUAAUUAUUUUGAGCAUUCGGGUUUACAGUGUUUCUAAAUGGGUGUAGCUAUGAAUAAUAACUAAGAUAAA
rnacentral:lncRNA from 1 species